rnacentral:rRNA from 1 species
GACGAACGCUGGCGGCGUGCUUAACACAUGCAAGUCGAACGGAAAGGCCCUGCUUUUGUGGGUUGCUCGAGUGGCGAACGGGUGAGUAACACGUGAGUAACCUGCCCUUGACUUUGGGAUAACUUCAGGAAACUGGGGCUAAUACCGGAUAGGAGCUCCUGCUGCAUGGUGGGGGUUGGAAAGUUUCGGCGGUUGGGGAUGGACUCGCGGCUUAUCAGCUUGUUGGUGGGGUAGUGGCUUACCAAGGCUUUGACGGGUAGCCGGCCUGAGAGGGUGACCGGCGACAUUGGGACUGAGAGACGGCCCAGAAUCCUACGGGAGGCAGCAGGGGGGAAUAUGGCAGAAUGGGCGGAAGCCUGAUGCAGAAACGCCGCGUGCGGGAUGACGGCCUUCGGGUUGUAAACCGCUUUCGCAGGUGACGAAGCGGGAGUGACGGUAAUGGGUAAAGAAGCAUCGGCUAACUACGUG